CAAGUACAUACACAUCAAGCAUACAGAACAAUAACUGAAUGUGCCUACAGAUAAAUGAAUAAAAUGAUAAGAGGAGCGAACGAACACAUUAUACUCUGUGAAAAAAAUAGACUGAACAUGAAACGUAACAUACGUACAAGUUAAGAGAAGUUGCGCGCCUGUAGAAGUCAUUUGUUCCUCGUGCAUCCUCCGCCUUUCAUACCACAGCAAGAACUCAUCACGUUCAUCGUAUUACUAUUUCUAAAAGAUAUGUCGUUGAAAGCUGAAAAUUUAGGCGUAUCCCACAUUCAAUUGAUAGUUCGACGUAUCUGUCAUCGCGGCCAUAUUGGACUCUAAAUUCGAGUGAACUUCAGCAUACAAUUUGUUUGUGAGGCGAAUGGGGUGUCUCUCCCUAUCUUCUCCUGGUUUCUUCCGGUCUCUCCCAACUCCCUUGGGAUUCCCAGCUCUUCUUAAGUCCUCCCAGGAUCAAAAAUAAGUGGAAAAGGGACACGGAAUGGGGGAAUCCCUCGGACGUCUCCAACGUAAACAAUGGAUGCUGCAAUUGGAAAGACUGAGUUCAUAGACCAGCUUCAGGGAAGAAACGAAACGUUUCCGUGAAGAGCCAAGAAUAGGUAAACGAUCCAGCGCCCCUUCUAAAGAAAUAUAAACAAUUCUACUAGCCACAAGCUACAAAUUCACUUUGGGCAGUUUAUUAUUCUGAGUUUAACAUGUUGACUGUUCUACAAGUCACUUUUUGGCCAGUAACACAAAUUUAAUUUCAUGAAACACAUAAUUAGAAUAAGAAGGAAGAAAACUUAAAAUAUCAUUAAUAUUCAUUAACAUAUUAAUUCUUGUUACUGUGGCAAUCAACAUGUUGUCUAUUACACUGUUCUGAACUUAAUUCUUUUCAUGAAUACUAUGAUUCGUUGUUAAGCUACUAAAGAAAUGGCUAAGAACAGUUAAAUACAAUGAAAAAUGUGUAAAGUAGAAUAGAAAAGAUGUCAAGUGAGUAAACAAUCACCAUUCAAGUUCCCUGUCAUUUCAAUAUAACGCUUCCCAAAUGACCAAGCAUCAUCUACUUACAUAAAAUAUACAUUUCAUGAAUUAAAACAAUAACUUAUCACGAAUAAAUUCAUUAUGGUUCCCCUACCUAAAAAUUAUGAGUCAUCACUUGAACUUAUCUUCAAGAUUAAUCUCUACAUAGCUUAAUUCAAAGCUACUUGUUUUUAUACAUAAUCAACAAAGAAUGUUCAUUGAUAAACCUUGAACAAAUGUACAUAUGUUGCUUGUAUGUCAGCAUUUAAUCUACAGUAAAACCAAUUUGGGAAACGUUGUUCAAUUUCUCAUCCAUUUGCUGAUCCAAGGCAUAAUACAGUGCUUUCCAGACAUUGUUUCUGAAGCUAAAGUGAAACUUCCACUUUUUUCCCUUCUGUUUUAAGCACAGUUUAUUUGAAUCAAAUUCUUUUCUGCAUAGAUUCAUUCUUUUUUCUUUAUUGAGCAACAGCCUAAUAUGGUAAGGGAAGAAAGUGUGUAAAGGACUCCUUGGUGGAAAGCACUGGCGUAAUGGGUCGCCUUAACGCUAGCAAGCAGUCGAAGUCGUUGGUGUUUAUACAAAUUUGCGACGAGUUAUAUAAAUAUACAAAAAGCAACGAAGGUGUACGAUCGUAUCGUGGUUUCCAGAUAAGUGUGCGUGUAAUGUGUGCACAUGUGUCUGUGUAUAAACCAUAUACACAAACAGUAUACGUAUGAGGGUCAG